rnacentral:rRNA from 1 species
GUUAUAUGGUCAAGUGAAGAAGCGCAUACGGUGGAUGCCUUGGCAGUCAGAGGCGAUGAAAGACGUGGUAGCCUGCGAAAAGCUUCGGGGAGUCGGCAAACAGACUUUGAUCCGGAGAUGUCUGAAUGGGGGAACCCAACCAUCAUAAGAUGGUUAUCUUGUACUGAAUACAUAGGUACAAGAAGCGAACCAGGGGAACUGAAACAUCUAAGUACCCUGAGGAAAAGAAAUCAACCGAGAUUCCCUUAGUAGUGGCGAGCGAACGGGGACCAGCCCUUAAGCUGUAUUGAUGUUAGCGGAACGCUCUGGAAAGUGCGGCCAUAGUGGGUGAUAGCCCUGUACGCGAAAACAUCUUUGCAGUGAAAUCGAGUAGGACGGAGCACGAGAAACUUUGUCUGAAUAUGGGGGGACCAUCCUCCAAGGCUAAAUACUACUGACUGACCGAUAGUGAACUAGUACCGUGAGGGAAAGGCGAAAAGAACCCCGGAGAGGGGAGUGAAAUAGAUCCUGAAACCGUAUGCGUACAAGCAGUGGGAGCCCACUUUGUUGGGUGACUGCGUACCUUUUGUAUAAUGGGUCAGCGACUUAUUUUCAGUGGCAAGCUUAACCGAAUAGGGGAGGCGUAGCGAAAGCGAGUCUUAAUAGGGCGUCUAGUCGCUGGGAAUAGACCCGAAACCGGGCGAUCUAUCCAUGGGCAGGUUGAAGGUUGGGUAACACUAACUGGAGGACCGAACCGACUACCGUUGAAAAGUUAGCGGAUGACCUGUGGAUCGGAGUGAAAGGCUAAUCAAGCUCGGAGAUAGCUGGUUCUCCUCGAAAGCUAUUUAGGUAGCGCCUCAUGUAUCACUGUAGGGGGUAGAGCACUGUUUCGGCUAGGGGGUCAUCCCGACUUACCAAACCGAUGCAAACUCCGAAUACCUACAAGUGCCGAGCAUGGGAGACACACGGCGGGUGCUAACGUCCGUCGUGAAAAGGGAAACAACCCAGACCGUCAGCUAAGGUCCCAAAGUUAUGGUUAAGUGGGAAACGAUGUGGGAAGGCUUAGACAGCUAGGAGGUUGGCUUAGAAGCAGCCACCCUUUAAAGAAAGCGUAAUAGCUCACUAGUCGAGUCGGCCUGCGCGGAAGAUUUAACGGGGCUCAAACCAUACACCGAAGCUACGGGUAUCACGUAAGUGAUGCGGUAGAGGAGCGUUCUGUAAGCCUGUGAAGGUGAGUUGAGAAGCUUGCUGGAGGUAUCAGAAGUGCGAAUGCUGACAUGAGUAACGAUAAUGGGUGUGAAAAACACCCACGCCGAAAGACCAAGGUUUCCUGCGCAACGUUAAUCGACGCAGGGUUAGUCGGUCCCUAAGGCGAGGCUGAAAAGCGUAGUCGAUGGAAAACAGGUUAAUAUUCCUGUACUUCUGGUUAUUGCGAUGGAGGGACGGAGAAGGCUAGGCCAGCUUGGCGUUGGUUGUCCAAGUUUAAGGUGGUAGGCUGGAAUCUUAGGUAAAUCCGGGAUUCUAAGGCCGAGAGCUGAUGACGAGUGUUCUUUUAGAACACGAAGUGGUUGAUGCCAUGCUUCCAAGAAAAGCUUCUAAGCUUCAGGUAACCAGGAACCGUACCCCAAACCGACACAGGUGGUUGGGUAGAGAAUACCAAGGCGCUUGAGAGAACUCGGGUGAAGGAACUAGGCAAAAUGGCACCGUAACUUCGGGAGAAGGUGCGCCGGUGAGGGU